rnacentral:lncRNA from 1 species
CAUAUUUCAUGAACAGUGUUAGUGACAUUUUCUGCUCCACCCGGUGUCCUUCCGCCACUGUCAGACGGUGGCGUAACAGCACCGCCGCGGCUAUUGAUUUCAUCUGCAGGUAAGCUAAAUCCUUUCCUAAACAAAUCCUAGGACCUGCGUUGAAAGAAACAAAUUUGUAUGAAUCUUGGGUCUCGAAUCUUUUGCCAUCUUCUGAUAACCAUCUUUCCGGUUUGAAUUCUAAGCAAUCUUCGCCCCAUAUAAAUUUCAUCCGACCGGUUGAAUAUAUAGAAUAUGUGACAUUUGAUCCCGCUGGGAUAAAUGCUCCGUUCGGCAAGACAUCAUCGGCGAUUACAUGCUUUGAGUCUUGUGGCACUGAUGGGUAAAGCCUUAGUGUUUCAGAUAGUGCGGCUUUAAGGUAUAUCAUUCGAUCUACUUCUUCAAACACUAAUGGUUCAUCAACCCAUUUGGAAGUGUCGGAUCCACGUGUCUCCAUUAGAAUAGUGCAAAUCUCGAUGAGAAUUUUGUCUUCCACCCUUGAGUUUUGAUUUACUAACCAAAAAAACCAACAAAGGGCAACUGAUGACGUGUCACGUCCAGCUAGGAUGAAAUUGAGUGCCACGUGCUGAAGGAAUUCAUCUGAAUAGGAUUCUUUUUUUUUCAUGAAACGGGAUAACAAAUCGUCG